UACGGGGGGGGCAAGCGUUGUUCGGAAUUACUGGGCGUAAAGGGCUCGUAGGUGGCCAACUAAGUCGGACGUGAAAUCCCUCAGCUUAACUGGGGAACUGCGUCCGAUACUGGAUGGCUUGAGUUUGGGAGAGAGAUGCGGAAUUCCAGGUGUAGCGGUGAAAUGCGUAGAUAUCUGGAGGAACACCGGUGGCGAAGGCGGCAUCCUGGACCAACACUGACACUGAGGAGCGAAAGCCAGGGGAGCAAACGGG
rnacentral:rRNA from 1 species